UCCGCAUUUUACAACAUUUCACAACGAAACUUUGGAAUAUUACUAAUUUUGUGAUUCUCUUUCAAGUUGUGAUGAAAUUUUUGUCUAGACUUGUUUAGAUCAAAAUUUAAUCUAUUACGCAAAUGGUCAAUUGAGUACUAUUUGAAUUGCCAUCGAAUUGGAUCUGACAGUGGUUCAUGCACUUGGAAUUUUGCAUUCAGCACACAAAGGACGAGGUAGAUCCAGCGCAUCGUCGAACAUGACUUGGUUGUCGCGACAAUUACGGCCAAAUGGAAAUCAUGCGGGCUUUACUACACGUGGAUUAUAUUGAUCGCCCCUUGUGAAAUUUAUACAUUCAGCCCUGACGAUGGUUCCAGAAGGAAUGCCCAAGAAUUAAAGCCGGGGAGGGGGGUGGGUAGUGGAGCGUUAGUCGAUGCUAAAAAUGUUCUUUUACAUGUAAGAAUAUUUCAGAUAAAAUUCCUG